rnacentral:rRNA from 1 species
AAACCAACAGGGAUUCCCUUAGUAACGGCGAGUGAACCGGGAAAAGCUCAAAUUUGAAAUCUGCCAACAGGCCGAGUUGUAAUUUGUAGAUGGCUACACUGCAUAAUAGUAGAUGCUCAAGUUCUUUGGAAAAAGACAUCAUGGAGGGUGACAAUCCCGUGAGGCAUGUUACUAGGAGCAUAUAGUGGGCUUUCUAAGAGUCGAGUUGUUUGGGAAUGCAGCUCAAAGUGCGUGGUGAAUACCAUGUAAAGCUAAAUAUGGACGAGAGACCGAUAGCGAACAAGUACUGUGAAGGAAAGAUGAAAAGCACUCCGAAAGGAGAGUGAAAUAGUACGUGAAAUUGUUAAAGUGGAAGGGCUUGAGAUCAGAAUUGGUAGUUUGGGUUCCACGUCCUCUUGGGGGCGUGUACUCCCUUUCCACCGGGCCAGCGGGAGUUUCGUCUCUUGGGUAAAAGCAGUGGAAUGUAGCAGCUUGUCUGUAUUAUAGCCUCUGUUCAUACAAGACGUCGAGACUUAUUUGUUGGCGUAAU